UUUCUCUCAUCUGCUCUCAUCCUCUCUUCUCUUCCUCUCAGCCGAUGAAACUAGAUCGAGUUUGAUGAAUCAGUUUGUUCAUAAUCUAUAAUAGAAUGUUUAGGGAUUCAUAAAUCGAUUUUAGGGUUUCAGUCUGUAUUAUGAUUCGAUUUUAGUUUGUUCGUCGGAGUUCGCACUUGGAAGAACUGAUCUUCACUCUCAGCUAAUCGUGAGAACGCAUCUGGUCUACUUUGUUUAAUUUAGAUGCAGAUGGGAAUGAAGUUGAUAAGUUGGCUGAGAAGAUACAAGGGGUUGGGAUUGCUUCUGGUAGUGCUGAUGGUGCUGUUCUAACUACUCCUAAGGGUCUCGCUUAGGAAGUUCAAAACUCCUGAACCUUAAUUUGAAUCAAAUGUUAUUUGUACGCUAGCGUGUUGGGGUGGUUUAGUAGAAGAUGGUAAUCUAUACUUUUCAAGUAGGUUAUGUUCGGGAUUGUGCUGAUGAUGGUGCGGACUAUUUUUGUUACUUGAUACAUGAACAUCAUUUUGUGUGCAAUUUGCAUUUCUCAUGGCCUCAGGUAUCAUGUGACACAGAGUGCCCUCCUAGAGGAAGUAGAGCUAUAUUUGCAAGCUUCCAAGACUGAUCCACGACAUUUUAUAAAGAUCUGGUGUGAUAUUAAAAUUCUUUCACAUAUGCUUUCUUGAGAUAUGUAGCUCUUACUCCCUCUUCUGUGGGAUGAAAUAAACAGGGGUAUUAAUGGUCCUAGUGCUCAGUUAUGUAGAAUUAAUGCUGAUUUGGUUUGAUAACGGUUGGUUAUAUUAAAUUUUGCAACUGCUGAUAGUGGUUAUAUUAAACGGUCAUAGAAUUGGGCUGUUGGUUUAUCUGGUUUAUUAGUUCUAGUGUAUAAAUUUCGCCCUUAUGGUAAUGUAUCUUACAUGUUACAACUUGUGUUUCAGAAAAUAUAUUUCAUUUAUCAUGCCGUUCAAAUCAGUUAAAAAUACUUGUUAUUUGAAUUUUCCAGAUGCAGAAGUUUGCUAUGCGAUUUAGAGUAGCAAGUGAUGCUCAAGUGUGUAUGGAUUUCAUAAGAGUGCAACCAUCACCUGCAUUUAUAGAACACGUUCUGAUCUGUAAAUUCUUCUUGUCUCAGAGAUGAUGCACAACCCUCACAUGUACUUAAAUAGUCUUUCUUACUUUUCUUUUGAUUGACAUUCCUGUCCAUCAGGAGAGUUUGACAGACAAGAAUAUGAUUGGGAAUUCAGAAACUGAUUUAUGGUCUGAAAUCUCGUCCGCCUAUGAGUUUGUCUCUUCAAAUGGACCUUGUUACAGGUUAAAUGCAUUUAAGAACCUAGAAUGUUUGAGCUAUGGUUAUUUGCAGUUCAGGUUAAGAAGUAGAGGGAGUGGUUAGUUUUGUAUGGAUGAUGCAUUUGGAAGGGGCUUGAUUGAGUGUUACUGAGAUUAGCAGAAGGAGAAGUUUGCUGGGGGGAGAGCAAAAGAAACUGGAUAUUCUUUAAAAUAAUAUAUUUGUUCAGGCUCAUAAGCAGCGGAAGAACAUCUAUUACAGUAAAGGAAAGAAGGAAAGAAGACGGAGAAGCAACUUUUGUGGAUCCAGCAUUGUGUUGAUGGUGACUGCUGAUCCUCUCUCUUAUUGUGCAUUCUAUUUUGUGUUGAGCUCUGGAACUGGUGUCAAUGGUUUCACACUUUCACUCUUGGUCCAUCGCUUGGGGAGUGCAUUGUGACUCAUCUUGACAUUAAGAAAGAAGCUGGAGGACAGUGAAGCAGCAGAGCAAUAUUGUGCUGAGAUGAGAAGACCAGCAUUACAGGUGAUCGGGGCAUUGAAGAACAAUGACGUUGGUAGGUUUCGCGAAUGUUGCUGGAGCAACAGACCAGCUUACAGGUGAAGCUGCUUGCCAGAUUCUUUGUGCAGGAACUGCAAGCGGCCUGGUUAUUAUCCUUAUGAAUAAGUCAGGGAUUAUGGAGAACUUGAUGAAGAAUGCUUGGUAACUAUCUGCAAGUUUUGAGAAGUAUCUGCAAGUUUUGAGUUUGUUGUAUGUAGUUUUUGAGCUGAACUUAUACUGACCUAAGUGAGAAGGAACUGAACUUAGGAAGUUUCUAUGUAUUCCCUCGAAA